GACGAACGCUGGCGGCGUGCUUAACACAUGCAAGUCGAACGGAAAGGCCCUGCGCUUGCGGCGUGCUCGAGUGGCGAACGGGUGAGUAACACGUGAGUAUCCCCCCCUUAACUUAGUGAUAACACUACGAAACUGGGGCUAAAACCGCAUAGGAUAUACUGAUGCGCGUGGUUGGAUGGAAAAAUACGGCGGUAGGGGCUGGACUAGCGGCUUAUCAGCUUGUUGGGGGGGUAGUGGCGUACCAGGGCUUAGACGGGUAGGCGGCCUGGGAGGGUGAACAGCGACCUUGCGCCUGCGGGACGGCGCAGUCUGCUAUCGGAGGCAGUAGUGGAAAAUCUUGCACAACGACGCGGCGUGUGAUAUAACAGUGCCCCGUGCGUGAUGCUCUCUUUCGGGUUGUAAACCGAUUUCGAAUGUGCCGAACCGUGCGUGACGGUACUGGGUCAAGAAGCAACGGCUAACUACGUG
rnacentral:rRNA from 1 species